rnacentral:rRNA from 1 species
GCAACUCGCCUACAUGAAGUCGGAAUCGCUAGCAAUCGCGGAUCAGCAUGCCGCGGUGAAUACGUUCCCGGGCCUUGUACACACCGCCCGUCACACCAUGAGAGUUUGUAACACCCAAAGCCGGUGGGGUAACCUUUUGGAGCCAGCCGUCUAAGGUGGGACAGAUGAUUGGGGUGAAGUCGUAACAAGGUAUC